GACGAACGCUGGCGGCGUGCCUAAUACAUGCAAGUAGAACGCUGAAGGCGGAGCUUGCUUCUCUGGAUGAGUUGCGAACGGGUGAGUAACGCGUAGGUAACCUGCCUGGUAGCGGGGGAUAACUAUUGGAAACUAUAGCUAAUACCGCAUAAUAUUGCCUAUUGCAUGAUAGUCAGUUGAAAGGUGCAACUGCACCACUACCAGAUGCACCUGCGUUGUAUUAGCUAGUUGGUGGGGUAACGGCUCACCAAGGCGACGAUACAUAGCGGACCUGAGAGGGUGAGUGGCCACACUGGGACUGAGACACGGCCCAGACGGCUACGGGAGGCAGCAGGAGGGAAACGUCGGCAAUGGGUGGGAGUCUGACCGAGCAACGCCGAGUGAGUGAAGAAGGUUGUCGGAUCGUAAAGCUCUGUUGUAAGAGAAGAAAGAGUGUGAGAGUGGAAAGCUCACACUGUGACGGUAUCUUACCAGAAAGGGACGGCUAACUACGUG
rnacentral:rRNA from 1 species